rnacentral:tRNA from 1 species
AUAGCUCAGUGGUAGAGCACAUGCUUAGCAUGCAUGAGGUUCUGGGUUCAAUCCCCAGU